GAUGAACGCUGGCGGCGUGCCUAAUACAUGCAAGUCGAGCGAACAGACGAGGAGCUUGCUCCUCUGACGUUAGCGGCGGACGGGUGAGUAACACGUGGAUAACCUACCUAUAAGACUGGGAUAACUUCGGGAAACCGGAGCUAAUACCGGAUAAUAUAUUGAACCGCAUGGUUCAAUAGUGAAAGACGGUUUUGCUGUCACUUAUAGAUGGAUCCGCGCCGCAUUAGCUAGUUGGUAAGGUAACGGCUUACCAAGGCGACGAUGCGUAGCCGACCUGAGAGGGUGAUCGGCCACACUGGAACUGAGACACGGUCCAGACUCAUACGGGAGGCAGCAGUAGGGAAUCUUCCGCAAUGGGCGAAAGCUUGACGGAGCAACGCCGCGUGAGUGAUGAAGGUCUUCGGAUCGUAAAACUCUGUUAUUAGGGAAGAACAAAUGUGUAAGUAACUAUGCACGUCUUGACGGUACCUAAUCAGAAAGCCACGGCUAACUACGUG
rnacentral:rRNA from 1 species